rnacentral:rRNA from 1 species
CCUACGGGUGACAGCAGUGAGGAAUAUUGGUCAAUGGGCGCUAGCCUGAACCAGCCAAGUCGCGUGAGGGAAGACGGUCCUAUGGAUUGUAAACCUCUUUUGUCGGGGAGCAAAAGACGCCACGCGUGGCGUUCCGAGAGUACCCGAAGAAUAAGCAUCGGCUAACUCCGUGCCAGCAGCCGCGGUAAUACGGAGGAUGCGAGCGUUAUCCGGAUUUAUUGGGUUUAAAGGGAGCGUAGGCCGCAUGUCAAGCGUGCUGUGAAAUGUCCGGGCUCAACCCGGGCCUUGCAGUGCGAACUGGCGUGCUUGAGUCCGCGUAAGGCAGGCGGAAUUCGUCGUGUAGCGGUGAAAUACUUAGAUAUGACGAAGAACCCCGAUUGCGAAGGCAGCUUGCUGCAGCGGAACUGACGCUGAUGCUCGAAAGCGCGGGUAUCGAACAGGAUCAGAUACCCGAGUAGUC